UCAUAUUUUCUCCGUCUCUUUCUCUGCUUUCUGAAAAAUCGAGAAUCCCCUUCUUCUCCUUCCUCCUUUUCCAUUUGAUUUCCCUCCACAGAUCCCAAAAUUCCCUUCUCCAAACCCUAAUUUUCUCUCUCUACACUAUCUGUUUCGCUCUCUCUCUCUCUCUCUCUCUCUCUCUCUCUCUCAGCAUCCACACUGAUCGAUUUCAUCCGCCGAUGGUUUUACAAGCUUCAUGAAUCUUCCCGAUAAGGCGCGCUUCUCGCUCUUCAUGGACCACCGCCACCGACCUUACCAUGCCUGAGCUGCGUCCACGCAGAAACCCAGACCCGAUCACCAAGACCCAGCCUCGGAGGGCGACUGUACGGACUCGGCGGAACAAGAAGAAUAGUAAUAAUAAUCAGAAGCAGAAAAAGAAUAAUAAUAAAAAACAAAAGAAGGCAGCUGGUGCCCGCAAGCGGAGGUGGGCCGAGGGCGGUCCGGUGAUUGAAACGAGGUCGUUUAAGGAAGACAUAGAGGAGGAGGCAAGUGAGAGAGCAAUGGACGAGUACGAUAGUGGCGGCCACAGUGGCGAUAAGGGCCUUGCAGCUGACGACGAGGGCGCAGCUCCCAUUCCCGAGAAGGUCCAGGUUGGUGGUUCCCCAGUGUACAAAAUAGAGAAGAAAUUGGGGAAAGGAGGCUUUGGUCAAGUAUAUGUUGGUCGACGGAUGGGGGCUGGUCCUGGAGCUGUUGAGGUUGCAUUGAAAUUUGAGCAUAGAAGUAGCAAAGGAUGUAAUUAUGGCCCACCUUAUGAAUGGCAGAUUUACAAUGCACUUGGCGGUAGUCAUGGGGUGCCAAGAGUUCACUAUAAGGGUCGGCAAGCUGACUACUAUAUCAUGGUGAUGGAUAUGCUCGGACCUAGUUUGUGGGAUGUCUGGAAUAACAGCUCACACACGAUGUCAAUUGAAAUGGUUGCAUGUAUUGCCAUUGAGGCAAUAUCCAUAUUGGAGAAGAUGCACUCUAGAGGAUAUGUACAUGGGGAUGUGAAACCUGAGAACUUUUUGCUUGGCCCCCCUGGAACUGUCGAGGAUAAGAAGCUGUUUCUUGUUGACCUUGGAUUAGCCACCAGGUGGCGAGAUUCGACUGGCCUGCAUGUCGACUAUGAUCAACGUCCAGAUGUUUUCAGGGGAACGGUGCGAUAUGCAAGUGUGCAUGCUCAUCUUGGUAGAACUGGUAGCAGGAGGGAUGACUUGGAAUCUCUAGCUUACACACUGAUAUUUCUUCUUCGUGGUCGGUUGCCAUGGCAAGGAUAUCAGGGAGAAAAUAAAGGUUUUCUUGUCUGCAAGAAAAAGAUGGCCACUUCCCCAGAAACUUUGUGUUGCUUCUGCCCUCAGCCAUUCCGACAAUUUGUUGAGUAUGUGGUGAAUUUGAAGUUUGAUGAAGAACCAAACUAUGCAAAGUACAUAUCCCUUUUUGAUGGAAUUGUUGGCCCAAACCCAGAUGUCAGGCCAAUAAAUACUGAUGGUGCUCAGAAGCUUAUAUGCCAAGUUGGACAAAAGAGAGCAAGAUUGACCUUGGAGGAAGAGGAUGAUGAGCAACCAAAGAAGAAGAUUCGUAUGGGGAUGCCUGCAACCCAAUGGAUUAGUGUAUACAAUGCUCGUAUGCCUAUGAAGCAAAGAUAUCACUAUAAUGUUGCAGAUGUGAGGCUCUCCCAACACAUUGAGAAAGGAAAUGAAGAUGGGUUAUUUAUUAGCAGUGUAGCUUCCAGUUCAAAUCUUUGGGCUCUUAUCAUGGAUGCUGGCACUGGCUUCAGUGCCCAAGUUUAUGAACUCUCUUCAUAUUUUCUGCAUAAGGAAUGGAUUAUGGAGCAGUGGGACAAGAAUUACUAUAUCAGCACGAUAGCAGGAGCAAACAAUGGAAGCUCUUUAGUUGUAAUGUCUAAAGGGACCCAAUACUUACAGCAGUCCUAUAAAGUCAGCGAUUCAUUUCCUUUCAAGUGGAUUAAUAAGAAAUGGCGGGAAGGAUUUCAUGUUACUGCAAUGGCAACUGCUGGGAGUAGAUGGGCUAUUGUUAUGUCCCGUGGUGCCGGAUUUUCUGACCAGGUUGUGGAACUAGAUUUUCUGUAUCCAAGCGAAGGCAUUCAUCGAAGGUGGGAUAAUGGCUACCGCAUCACGUCAACUGCAGCAACUUGGGAUCAGGCAGCUUUUGUCCUUAGUGUUCCAAGGAGAAAACUGGCAGAUGAAACUCAAGAGACGCUUCGGACUUCUGCUUUUCCUAGUACACACGUUAAGGAGAAAUGGGGAAAGAACCUUUAUAUUGCAUCUAUUUGCUACGGUAGAACUGUCUCAUGAACAGCCAAGCUUAUGUUGAGAUGCCACUGAUGGAAUUCUGAUAAUUCACCUUUAUGAACAACAAGCCUGCGUUUACCAUUUAGUGCCUGUUCAGAAGCAAAAGAUCCUCUCACGGGAAAUUGAUUGGUCUUGGCAUUUGGGAGUUGAUUACAUUACACAUAGAAGUUGUGCAACAUGACUAUGCUGCAUUUCCAGUGAAUAAAUGGGUAUUACAGGUUAAAUAGUUGAUAAUUUUGGUCAAGGUCUUUGAAGCAGAACUGCAGUAGGGAAGGUUAUAUUGCACCAAUGUAUGAAGUAAGACCUAUGAUGCCGAUAAAGAACCCAUCUUUCCCAUUGCUAUAAUGUCUCGCUAUCAAUUGGCAUUCAUAAUUUGUUAGAAGCACUUGGUUGUUUGUGUGUACUCAAGUUAAUAUAAGGUGAGCUGCAUGCGAGACUUUGUGGUUCAUGCAUAUCCAUCCAUGAUGCUGCUAUUGGAGGAAGUGCGAGUUUUCAAACACAAGCUGCAGAUGUAAAGCGAUCUUAGCCCAGAGCACGGCAUUGCUGUGCUGAUUUUUCCGGAUUGAACUGGUGGGACUGAUUGUGCCAAUUUCCGCCAGGUCAUGAUUUGGAAAUUUCAGAAGACGAAUCCAUGAUGAACUCGAGGCAUGUUGGUUGCAGGGGAUCUGUUUUGUUUAAAAACUAUUGUCGAAUUUAAUCAGAUUUAACCAAUGUCGAAAGUGAAGGAUUUCAGCGGUUGCUGUCGUCGUUUGAACUAAAUCAUCUCUUGAAAAGUUAGUAGUCGCAUUUUCAACAUAA